GAUUUUACAGGCUCAUAGGUAGAAGGGACUUGCCUUGUCUCUGAUGAGGCUUUAAACUGAGGAUUUUGAGUUAAUGCUGAAAUGAGUUGAGACUUUAGGGGACUGCUAGGACUGCACGAUUGGUUUUGAAAAGUGAAGAUACGAGAUUUGGGAGGGCCAGGGACGGAAUGAUAGGAUUUGGCUCUGUGUCCCCACGCAAAUCUUAUCUUGUAGCUCCCAUAAUUCUGUGUUGUGAGAGGAACCUGGUGGGAGAUGAUUCUACCACAGGGGUGAGUCUUUCCCAUGCUGUUGUUGUGAUAGUGAAUGAGUCUCAGGAGAUAUGAUGGUUUUAAAAACAGUAGUUGCCCUGUACAAGCUCUCUUUGCCUGUCCCCAUCUACGUAAGAUGUGACUUGCUCCUCCUUUCCUUCUGCCAUGACUGUGAGGCUUCCCCAGCCAAGUGGAACUCCAUGACAGCCAUAUCUCAGGCAGCCCAGAGGUAUUGAAGCCUCAGCUUCCAAACAUCACGUGGAUGGUGUCAGGGAACUCAAUUCCAAGCUGUACCAGAAAGUUUUUGUUCUUCCAAGAAAAUACUAAGCUGAAAAGAUAAUUGGUAUUCAAGACACACAUGUUUUCUACUAGCAAAUAAGAAGAAAGCACAACAGUAUUCUUGAAGGAUGCUGAUUUUUUUGUGUUUUGCAAUUCUGCAUUUUCAAAAAUGACAUCUGUUUUGUGAGUGACUAAAAACUCUGAGGGAAGAAUUUGUAAAAGGAAAUAAAAUUGUGUUUCUGAGCAUUUUGCUCCUUACUGCCUUCAAAUGAUAUUUGUUUAGUUGGCCCAUUUUUCCAAAAACAUUGUCAAGGCAGAAGUUUCCUGUUUCCUGCGCUUAUUUAUGACAGGUUUGAAAUGGUGUUCCAGUGGCAGAUAUUUUAAAAGUUUCUUCUAGCACUCUUUCCCCAUGUAUCAAAUCAUCUUCUCUUUCCAGCACUCAAAAAAACUGUGCCUUCUAGGAGCAUAAAUGAAUUUAAUGCAUUACAUUUAUGUUGUGUGUUUCUAGAAAGAACUCAGAAAUAUUUUACUGUCUUCGCUUUCCUAGGCUGCUCACUUUUUGCCAGUGCAUCAACAAAUAAAAAAGUUUAAGAGAGCCAUUUCUUAUUCAGCUCCAUGUCUUUGAUUUAUCACUUCCUAUUCCAUAAAUUUCCUGUCGCUGCUUCACACAAAUAAAAAGACGUAGUAAUUCAUGGAGUUUGUCAGCCAAAUUCCAGUUCUGGAGAAGAAUAAAUAUUAAGGAAGGUCAUUGGAGGAAGUUCACUCUGCAAAUGGUGCAGUGUGAGGCUGGAACCCUCGCCCCUGGCACUAUCAAAUCUGUACCUGGCCAUUCUGAAAGAAUACCCUCCUAAUUAAGAAAACAACAACACCCACACUCAUAGCAGCUUCCAAGUUAUAACUGUCAGAAUCAACAGUCUUCAGAGUAGGCAGAAAACUCAUAGACUACAGGUGUGGGUCUUUAUCCUCUUGCUU
rnacentral:lncRNA from 1 species